rnacentral:tRNA from 1 species
CAGGAGAUAGUUUAGCUAAAAUGCCAGCUUUGGGAGCUGGUGAUGAAGGUUUGAGUCCUUUUCUCCUGA